CUCUUCUCUAAUCUUGGUUUCUGCUUUUGGGUUCUUUGAAAUAAGCCAAAAGAACCAAGUGAGAGCUGAACUAGUUGUGUCUCUCCCCGCAAUCAUGAAAUUCAAGACUGUAUCUCUCAAGAAAUUGUCGUCAGCACGUUGCAAUUCUCCCAUAAUGGUUUUGUUUUCGUGCAUGUAUGAUGCUAACAAAUCCACCCCAUCUAUUUCUUUCGAUAAAAUUUCUUCGUUAAUCUCUCUUCUUUUCCUUUGUAUGAGUUCGAAUAUGACACUAUCUAACGUUUCCUUAGCUUUUUUCAGUUUCUUUUCUUCUCCAAUUCCAAGCCAUCUUUGUAGCUUCCACAAGCUUUCCGGAACAACAUGCCGAUAAAAUAUUGAUUCCUCGGCAUCUUCCAAUGCCAUUAGGAGUCGAACUUCUGGAAAUUCAAUUGACAAACAACCAGGAUCAU
rnacentral:lncRNA from 1 species